rnacentral:rRNA from 1 species
CACUUCUAAGGAAGGCAGCAGGCGCGCAAAUUACCCAAUCCUGACUCAGGGAGGUAGUGACAAGAAAUAACAAUAAACCGGCUUAUGCCGGUUUAAUUGGAAUGAGUACAAUUUAAACAUCUUAACGAGGAACAAUUGGAGGGCAAGUCUGGUGCCAGCAGCCGCGGUAAUUCCAGCUCCAAUAGCGUAUACUAAAGUUGUUGCAGUUAAAAAGCUCGUAGUUGGAUUUCUGUGGGGACGGAGCGGCCGGCCGCACAUCGCGGUUCGAGCUAGCGCUUUCCCUACAUCCUGCCGCGAACCGUGCUACCAUUAGUUUGGUGGCGCCGGGGAUCGGCUCGAUUACUUUGAGAAAAAUAGAGUGUUCAAAGCAGGCCACAUGCCUUGAAUAAGUUAGCAUGGAAUAAUAACUAAGGACUUCGGUUCUAUUUUGUUGGUGUUCGGGACUGAAGUAAUGAUUGAUAGGGACAGUUGGGGCGGUCUGUAUUCCAAAGCGAGAGGUGAAAUUCUUAGACCUUCGGAAGACAAACAGCUGCGAAAGCGUUCCGCAAGGAUGUUCCCUUUGAUCAAGAACGAAAGUUGGGGGAUCGAAGACGAUCAGAUACCGUCGUAGUCUCAACUAUAAACUAUACCAGCUAGGGAUCGGCCAACGUUAUUUUAUACCGACUUGGUCGGCACCUUAUGAGAAAUCAAAGCAUCUGGGUUCCGGGGGGAGUAUGGUCGCAAGGCUGAAACUUAAAGGAAUUGACGGAAGGGCACCACCAGCCGUGGAGCCUGUGGCUUAAUUUGACUCAACACGGGAAAACUUACCAGGUCCAGACAUAGUAAGGAUUGACAGAUUGAUAGCUCUUUCUUGAUUCUGUGGGUGGUGGUGCAUGGCCGUUCUUAGUUGGUGGAGUGAUUUGUCUGGUUAAUUCCGUUAACGAACGAGACCCCAGCCUGCUAAAUAGCGCGCGUGAGCUUUGCUCGCGGCGAGCUUCUUAGAGGGACUCUGAUGCGCGAUAGCACAUGGAAGUUUGGGGCAAUAACAGGUCUGUGAUGCCCUUAGAUGUUCUGGGCCGCACACGGGCUACACUGGCGCCUGCAACGAGCAUAUCAGCUGGCCCGAGAGGGUCUUGGCUAAUCUUUUGAACCGGCGCCGUGCUUGGGAUUGACCUUUGCAAUUGUUGGUCAUGCAACGAGGAAUGCCUUGUAAACGCGAGUCAUCAGCUCGCAUUGAAUACGUCCCUGCCCUUUGUACACACCGCCCGUCGCUCCUACCGAUGAAUGUUCCGAUGAAAUUUUCGGAGAGCACCUGUGAACUUGGCUCUGCCUUGCGAACGGGAGGCUCAAAGUCACUUAAAUCUGAACAUUUC